ensembl:lncRNA
CACACACACACACACACACACACACACACACACUCACACACACACACUCACACACACACACACACACACUCACACACACACACACACUCACACACAUUACCACACACACACAUGCUCACACACUCACACACACACACACUCACACACAGCCAUACACACUCACACACAACCAUACACAUUCACACACACACACACGCUCUCACCCACACACACACACACACACACACACACACACACACACACAACUCUCAUUAGUUACUGUAAAAAGAGUUUUAUUACACAUAUUGAUCUCCUUUGUCAGCUCAUUCAUUUGAAUCUGCACAAUCUUAAAAGGGUACAACUCUCCUUAGAUACUGUAAAAAGAGUUUUUUUGUUUUUAAAAAAAGAUCACUGUACAGACACAUCAUUACAGCACAUGACUGCUACGGCCUGCUAGUCAUUAGACAUGGAUACAGAUACAGUAUGUACAAUCCAGGCUAGGAAGGAAUCAUUGGCUAUUUCAGUCUGGGUGUGUAUGUGACAGUAAACCAGAGUAUUGCUUUGCUGUGUCUGUGUGUGUGUGUGUGUGUGUGUGUGUGUGUGUGUAUCACAUCGUGUAUGUAAUAUGUACAUGCAAGUAUCCAUGUUGGUGCGUGUAUAUGUGCGUGUGUGUGUGUGUGUGUGUGUGUGAGUUUAGGUAUCACAUCAUGUAUGUAAUAUGUAUAUGCGUGUGUAUGUAAUGUCUGUCUAUGCAGGUGUGUGUGUGUGUGUGUGUGUGUGUGUGUGUGUGUGUGUGUGUGUGUGUGUGUGUGUGUGUGUGUGUGUGCGUGCGUGUGUGUAUUCACAUACAAAUGUCCCCCCAUCCCCUGUCCCCCAGGAACCCCUCACCCAAACCCAGAUCUGAACCCAGGAGCUAGCAGCUAAGCUACAGGCUACCUUGGUGAGAGCUGAGUCUUGCACACAUCUGUGCCACAUCCAGGCCACUCCUGGGCCAGACCCGGGCCAGACCUGUGCCAGACCUGUGCCACACCUGGGCCAGGUUUGACCCAGCGCCAGCUCUUCUCUGGCUGUGGAUUAUGGUUAAAGCCGUGGCGGAGGGCUUGCUCCAGCUCGGCCCUGCGGUGAGAAAGACUGUGGAGCGUAAACGGUCUUGGCAGAUCCUGGCAACGACUCCGGACUUCAGGGAAGUGGAUUAGUGGUGACGGAGCUCGCGUGGCAACUGUUUUAAGUUACUUAAAUGGUUAGGGAGAGAGAGAGAGAGAGAAAGAAAGAAAGAAAGAGGGAGAGAGACAGAGAGCAAAAGGAAAUAACCCAGCCGUGGCCUUCAUCAGUUGCAUACGAUCUGUUGUGUGUAGGAAAAUAAAACACACACACACACACACACACACACACACACACACACACACACACACACACACACACACACACACACACACACACACACACACACACACACACACACACACACACACACACACACACAGCUCUAGGUGCAGUUGCAUGUGAUCUGUUGUGUGUAGGAGAAUAAAACACACACACACACACAUCCCCAGAGAAGUUCAGACCCGUUUUCUUCAGUCUUGUAAGUCUACUUGUAAAGGUUCACACACUUGUAAAGGUUCCCAUAGCACCAAGGACAGCUCCCAAUGUUCCCUGACCCACACAGCAGCUCUCACUGGGGGGGGG